rnacentral:SRP_RNA from 1 species
GCCGGGUGUGGUGGCGCGCACCUGUAAUCCCAGCUGCUCAGGAGGCUGAGACAGGAGAAUUGCUUGAACCUGGGAGGUGGAGGUUGCAGUGAGCUGAGAUCACGCCAUUGCACUCCAGCCUGGGCGACAGAGCGAGACUCUGUCUCAA